AAUUUUUCCGAUGAUGUUCAACAAGGAGAUAUCUCUAUAGUUGUCACAGUCACUUCUAUCCCCUUUGUUAUUGUACAAAUUUGUUUUUUCAGACUGGUGUACAGGGUGCUUUGCCCAGGCAUAUGUGUCUAAUUUUAAUAAUGUUGGUGGAGCUGCUGAGUGCUGAUUGCCAGUGCAUAAGAAUGCUGUUACUCACUGCACCUUGACUAUUGUUGAACAUGCCGAGUUGCUGGGUGUUGGGGAUCAAGUAGCACUGUUUUGCAGGUAAAAGGGUGCAUGGCUAAGAAGGUUUGAAAACUAUUAUCAUAAUAUAAAACUCAUUACACUCAUGCCACCUACUUUUCAAUAAAGGGUAGCUUCUCCUAGCAAAUCUCCUUUCAGACUGAAAACUCAGAUAUUCAAAUACACGCUUGGCUGUUUUUCAUCUGUCAGAAGAAAGUCAUCACUCCUAUGCCUACACAGAUAGGGACCCUCAUUUUCUGAAGCCACAGGAAGUGCCUUAGAUUCUUACAUCUCCUUGUUUACUGCUAAUGAAUGGAUCCAAUUCUUGGCAUUCCUUUUAAAGGACAGUGUUCACAUUUGAAUACGGACUUUUCCUGUCUGAAAGACAAUCACAUUGUAGUUACCUUAAUAUGCAUCCUGAAAAUAGUCUACCAACUUCUUUAAGCACUACAUGCCAAAGAAAUUCUCUUAAGAGGGAUUAACAAGCCUUCACUUCUUAUACACUGCAGUCUACCCUGAGACUCAGCCUGCACUUGUUACCACUUCCUUACCACCAUCACUACAACAACUAGCCUUGGGAACCAAAGAUGACGACAGAGACAAGAGUACUGGAUUAACUGCACCGAAUACACAAAAUGUAAAUUUUCAUCGUAUUUAUAAAAGGCAAGAGUUAGAUACUUAAAAACUUGCUUUAACAUUACAGUUUUUACUUGAAUUUUAGGUUGUCUCAAACAGGUUACAAAACUUUGCCCUGUGUUGAAAUUCCACAGCUACAGUUUCUAUUUAAAAGCUUUACUUGAAAUCUAAGUCUUAAAAAGAUACUGUAUUUUUUAAGUAUACUUAUUAUACAUAAGACAAAAACUAAUUUAUACUCUGAAAGUACUCUCUUCUCCUGAGGAAUGCAUAUAUACACACAUACAUGUACAUAAGCUGUUCAUCUGGGUCACCUGUACCUUGAAGUACUUUCUUAUCUUUUUACUCCAAAGAAAUAAAAAGGCAGUAGAAAAUACUGAAAACUCCAACCAGAACUGAUACGCAGAGACCAUCAUCUUUUGAUGCUAUAUAAGAAGGGUCCUAAACAAAAGAUGGGGUCCUAUUCCAUGACAAGGCUUCCUAGGCAUUGUGGCAACAACAUUUUUUUCCAGGACAUGCUAUGUGAUAGCAACUUAUAUCAGUAUGAGGGACAAAGUUCAGGUAUCCAUUAAGUUAGUACUUCUGUUAAUCCCAUCAGGUAACUUGCCAGCUUCCGUCUUCCCCCGCCCCACACACAUUCUCCUUUAAUACCAGGUUUAACAUAUACUGCUUUGUCUUCUAAAACAUUGCAUUCUGUCCAUCCAUUACAUAAACAAACAUGAAAAAACUCGUGUAAAAAUAAGCCAAGAUAUAGCAUCAACUACUACAAAAAAAAAGUUUCACAGGUUGUUCUAUAAAUGGUCCAAAGCAUGCCACAUUAAAUCUUUUGUAGGCAGAAUUUUCUCAAAUGCAACCUCAAUGCUGCCAAGGCCCAAAGCCAUAUUUGACUUCAUACCUCUGAGGUAAGUGAAACUCAGUGGACAACUCAGGAGUCUAGUCACUCAUGUAAGCACUGGUAGCUCAAUUGCCAAAUAAAAUUAAAAAUAUUUACACAUCAUGAAGGAGACUCCAGAUACACUGGUGAAUGAAAGAACAAGAUCUCAUUUACAUGAUACAAUAUUCUAAGUUCACCAAGAAUGGUAAAUAUUUCCCAUUAUACAGCUAGCUUAAUUUAAAAGACAUACAGGUCAAUUAUCCAGAUGUCAAAGAGACAGUAAGCUUUAAUUAGUCAAUAAUUCUCAUUCAACAAAAACUGACUUCCAGACAAGCUUUAUAUUUGUGUGACCAAGUCUCAUAAUAAGAAGUUUGGAUAUAAUUUACCUAUACUAACAAGUCCAAGUUCAGUGGUAACUGAUAAUCUUACAGGUAAUUAAUUGUGCUUACAACUUAACAAGGAACACUGUCUAUAAUAUUUACACCAUACACAGCUGUUGAAGAACAGUUUUAGGUAUAUCAACAAAACUAUGGCCACACAGCAUGCGUGAGUGUUUUACUCAUCAUUUAUAAACUAACCAAUAUUGCACAGUAAAGUAGUUAGAUCAAAAUGCCAAACAAGUGAUUCAACAUGAGACCAUGAAGCUUACAUUCCUCCAAUUUAAGAU